rnacentral:rRNA from 1 species
GGGGGGGGGGGGGGGGGGGCCGGGGGGGGGGGGGUCGAGGGGGCGGAGGAGGAGCGGGCUUCUCGGAUGUUAGCGGCGGACGGGUGAGGAACACGUGGAUAACCUACCUAUAAGACUGGGAUAACUUCGGGAAACCGGAGCUAAUACCGGAUAAUAUUUUGAACCGCAUGGUUCAAAAGUGAAAGACGGUCUUGCUGUCACUUAUAGAUGGAUCCGCGCUGCAUUAGCUAGUUGGUAAGGUAACGGCUUACCAAGGCAACGAUGCAUAGCCGACCUGAGAGGGUGAUCGGCCACACUGGAACUGAGACACGGUCCAGACUCCUACGGGAGGCAGCAGUAGGGAAUCUUCCGCAAUGGGCGAAAGCCUGACGGAGCAACGCCGCGUGAGUGAUGAAGGUCUUCGGAUCGUAAAACUCUGUUAUUAGGGAAGAACAUAUGUGUAAGUAACUGUGCACAUCUUGACGGUACCUAAUCAGAAAGCCACGGCUAACUACGUG